AUCUGCUGCCGCCCUGAAUCAGCGUUAGCAUGUGGAGGCAACCUCAGCCCCCAGUUUUUGAAGAAGGUGAUUCAGAUUCAGACACAGGAAUUAUGGUGACGGUAGAAAUGGACUGGAAGGUUCGUUCCCCUUGCCCACCAAGACUCCAGAGCAGUUUCUUUCAGGGUGGAAACAGUCCCAACCUAGAAAGCUGAUCAGAAGACUCCCACCCACAUACCAGCAAUUGGUAUCUGCAUGGCUACGUACGCAGCUUCCUCUGAAUCCAGAUUUUCGUCUAGACUUUCAUCAGGAAGACAUAAGAUUUAUGGCUCCAGAUAGUACUAAUACCUCGUCCAACAUCACAAGCAGAGGCCUUCAACUGGGGGCCGUGACUACAAAGAGGGACCGUUCACAGACUGGCAACGAACCCAGAACGUAUACACCGAAAUCGUGUGCAGGGUGCUACUGUUUUGGGAGAAGAGCCGUAGCUUCUGUCUCAUCAUGGAGGAGGCGCCUGGCCUGGGAAAGGCCAUAUUGUCAAGUGGGAGGAGGAAGAGGCGCAGCCCCGUGUGGUGUGCGUGCUCAUCAGAGAAGCCAGCACAGACACUGGGACCCACUCGCGUCACCAAGAGCCAACCCCUCUUCAGGGUGAGUAAAGGAAAGAGCUUUCAUUGGAGGAAUGUGAAUACUUUUCAGUUAUCCAGCCCAGAGACACUGAAAGGAGACGGCAGUCCCGUCCUCCCCUUCUCUGGGUUGUGCUCAUCUCUCGAAACUACCUGCUUUUGCCACCAGCAGCUAAGCUAUAAAUUCCCUCAAUCACACCCCAUCCGAGACUACAGCCCGCACCCUAGAGCUUAACAAUGGAGAGCCAAUCGCCCAUCAAUGCCAUUUCUGUAAGCCUAUGAGAAUUCCUGGCAAACAACUUUGUAUCACCCCACUCCGUGUCCCCCUUUCUUUGCCUUAACAACCUACUUGUAACACAGGGGAACGGAGUUCAUAUCCAGGGUCACUGGGUCUGUAUCUUCUGGGCAGCUGUCCUCUCUUUGGCUCGAGUCAGCUCUUUAUUAUACUUUGUGCCUCAGCUGCUUUGCUUUAGAUGGACAGAGGCCAUGCACCCAAGAACCACACCACUCAGAGCCUGCUUCGAGGGGCUCCUCCAAGUCCCUGCCCUGGAGGAGCUAAGUCUGGAGAGAGGCCUGAAGCUGCCCAUCUUCAACCUCAGCCCAAAGAGCCGCCUGGAAACAAGCAUUCCAAAGGCUACUGGCCACCUUGCUCUUCUCAGCUUUGCUGGCUCUCACAGCGGAAACCACUGGCAAGUUUGUUCAAAGGGGGGCAAAAGCAACCACAUUUUCUAACUUUGUAUUCUCUUUUUUUUCCUCAUUCACUCUGUCACCCAGGCUGGAGUGCAGCGGCACGCUGCAACCUCCGCCUCCUGGGUUCAAGCAAUUCUCCUGCCUCAGCCUCCCAAGUAGCUGGGACUACAGGCAUGCACCACCACACCCAGCUAAUUUUUUGUAUUGUUAGUAGGGUUUCACCAAUGUUGGUCAGGCUGGUCUCGAACUCCUGACCUCAAGUGAUCCACCCAUCUCAGCCUCCCAAAGUGCUGGGAUUACAGGUGUGAGCACCCAGCCUAACUUUGUAUUCUCUAAAUGUAAAAGGCCACUACCAAACUAUACAACUCUUUUUCUUAUUUGUUCUCUGUAAUAAAAUGCCAAAACCAUAAUUGGAACUCUGGAUUUGAAAAUAGUGGCAUCAAGUCCGCGACCCCUCUUGGCUUCCUGGAAAUCACCCAAAGAAUGAGAACCAAAACCACAAACUGCAUUUUCGGCGAGGCAAGGAGAUAGCUAAAUACCAUGAAAUAGGUGGAAGAGCUGUUAAAAGAAGUGAAGACUGAGCAGGGGGACGUGAUGAAAAACGGAAAGAAGGCCCCCAGCUCUGCAAACGUGCUUCUUCUGGAAAGUGAGGGUACACCUGGGAACAGCUGAGGCCACACCCAGAGAGGCAUCCUGUCAACCCGCCCCAUGCUGGAAGCAGUCGGUCUCUGCAGUGGUGGAGACAAUGAGCCCCUCUGCAAGGUGCAAACGCCCUGCAGCUGGUUACUGCAUGGGCUCAUGCAAAGUCAAGAUGAAAGAAACUCUCACGUAAAUCCUCCGGCUAUUAGAACACUCCAGCCAGCCUGGUCUAGGAAUAAAUUCAUCUCCUGCAAGGAGAGGUUAAAAGGAACCAGCAGAGGAGCACAUGACAUCUAAUGGAUUAAAAAAUGAGAGUGGGAAGGGAAAGGAAGGAGGGGAAGUGAGGAAGGAGAGAAAUACGAGUGGCAGAUGAAUGCGAAAGCCAGGUCAGGUCACUGUUCCACUUAGAUUUUUCAGCAGCUCACCAUCUCAAGCACACAGUAAGAGCCACAGCAGCCUACAAAGGGGGACCCGCCCUCUCCUUACCUGACGGCCCUCAUAUGGGGCCCUCUGCUCCCUCGCUCCUGCCCUGGCCCCCUUGCCAUUCCUUUCAGAGGCCUGCACAUUCCAGCCUUAGGCAACUGCCCACGUUCCUUGCUCCACCUGCUUGUUCUUCUCAGAUACCUGCAGGACUCGGUUCCGUGAGCCCACAUUUGAAACUGUACUACUCCCUCCCUAGCACUCAUUAUCCCCCCUCCCUGACUGACUGCGCUCUGUGACACUUACACCUUCCAAAAUAAGACAAAAGUGCCUCCCUAUUUUAUUUAUUGUCUGUCUCCUGCCCCUGAACAUAAACUCCACCAGGGCAGAGUGAUUGGCAACAGUAGGCAUUCAAUGAACAUUUACUAAAUGAAUAAACGAUCAUUCACCAGAAGAAAAAUC
rnacentral:lncRNA from 1 species